UACGUAGGGGGCGAGCGUUGUCCGGAGUUACUGGGCGUAAAGGGCACGCAGGCGGUGCGGCGCGUUUCGCGUGACAGCGGAGGGCUUAACUCUCCGAGGAUGCGAAAGACGGCGGCACUUGAGGGCCAGAGAGGGACACGGAAUUCCGGGUGGAGUGGUGAAAUGCGUAGAGAUCCGGAGGAACACCGAAGGCGAAGGCAGUGUCCUGGCGGGUGACUGACGCUGAGGUGCGAAGGCGUGGGGAGCGAACGGG
rnacentral:rRNA from 1 species